rnacentral:rRNA from 1 species
AGCGAACGCUGGCGGCAGGCCUAACACAUGCAAGUCGAGCGCCGUAGCAAUACGGAGCGGCAGACGGGAGAGUAACACGUGGGAACGUGCCCUUUGGUUCGGAACAACACAGGGAAACUUGUGCUAAUACCGGAUAAGCCCUUACGGGGAAAGAUUUAUCGCCAAAGGAUCGGCCCGCGUCUGAUUAGCUUGUUGGUGAGGUAACGGCUCACCAAGGCGACGAUCAGUAGCUGGUCUGAGAGGAUGAUCAGCCUCACUGGGACUGAGACACGGCCCAGACUCCUACGGGAGGCAGCAGUGGGGAAUAUUGGACAAUGGGCGCAAGCCUGAUCCAGCCAUGCCGCGUGGAUGAUGAAGGCCCUAGGGUUGUAAAGUCCUUUCGGCGGGGAAGAUAAUGACGGUACCCGCAGAAGAAGCCCCGGCUAACUUCGUGCCAGCCGCCGCCGUAAAAC